ACGGUCCUAAGGUAGCGAAAUUCCUUGUCGGGUAAGUUCCGACCCGCACGAAAGGUGUAACGAUUUGGGCACUGUCUCAACGAGGGACCCGGUGAAAUUGAAAUACCUGUGAAGAUGCAGGUUACCCGCGACUGGACAGAAAGACCCCAUGGAGCUUUACUGUAACCUGACAUUGGGUUUUGUUGUAUUACGUACAGGAUAGGUGGGAGGCUUGGAAGGCUGGACGCUAGUCUGGCUGGAGCCGGCGUUGGGAUACCACCCUUGAUACAACGGAAUUCUAACCGAGAGAGUAACGAAAUCCGGGACAGUGUCAGGCGGGCAGUUUGACUGGGGCGGUCGCCUCCGAAAGAGUAACGGAGGCGCCCAAAGGUUCCCUCAGCGCGGCCGGAAAUCGCGCGAAGAGUGUAAAGGCAGAAGGGAGCUUGACUGCGAGCCAAACACGGCGAGCAGGUACGAAAGUAGGGCUUAGUGAUCCGGUGGUACCGAGUGGAAGGGCCAUCGCUCAACGGAUAAAAGCUACCCUGGGGAUAACAGGCUAAUCUCUCCCAAGAGUCCAUAUCGACGGGGAGGUUUGGCACCUCGAUGUCGGCUCAUCACAUCCUGGGGCUGAAGUCGGUCCCAAGGGUUGGGCUGUUCGCCCAUUAAAGUGGUACGUGAGCUGGGUUCAGAACGUCGUGAGACAGUUCGGUCCCUAUCCAUCGCGGGCGCAAGAGAUUUGAAGGGGUCUGCUCCUAGUACGAGAGGACCGGAGUGGACGGACCGCUGGUGUACCAGUUAUUCCGCCAGGAGUACAGCUGGGUAGCUACGUCCGGACUGGAUAAACGCUGAAAGCAUCUAAGCGUGAAGCCAUCCUUAAGAUGAGAUCUCUCACAGAGUAAUCUGGUAAGACACCUUAAAGAAGAUGAGGUAGAUAGGCCGAGAGUGUAAGUGCAGCAAUGUAUUGAGCUGACCGGUACUAAUAUGUCGAGGGCUUGACUUC
rnacentral:rRNA from 1 species